rnacentral:rRNA from 1 species
ACCAAGGCGACGAUCCGUAACUGGUCUGAGAGGAUGAUCAGUCACACUGGAACUGAGACACGGUCCAGACUCCUACGGGAGGCAGCAGUGAGGAAUAUUGGACAAUGGGCGAAAGCCUGAUCCAGCCAUGCCGCGUGUGUGAAGAAGGUCUUCGGAUUGUAAAGCACUUUAAGUUGGGAGGAAGGGCAGUAAGUUAAUACCUUGCUGUUUUGACGUUACCGACAGAAUAAGCACCGGCUAACUUCGUGCCAGCAGCCGCGGUAAUA